rnacentral:rRNA from 1 species
UACGGGGGGGGCAAGCGUUGUCCGGAUUUAUUGGGCGUAAAGAGCGUGUAGGCGGUCAGGUAGGUCGGUUGUGAAAACUGGAGGCUCAACCUUCAGAGGUCGACCGAAACCCCCUGGCUAGAGUCCGGGAGAGGAGAGUGGAAUUCCUGGUGUAGCGGUGAAAUGCGCAGAUAUCAGGAAGAACACCCGUGGCGAAAGCGGCUCUCUGGAACGGUACUGACGCUGAGACGCGAAAGCGUGGGGAGCGAACAGG